ACACCUUACUUAAGCAGGAUCUCUUAUAUAGGUUGGAUGUCUUAGUCUAUGUAGUUUCUUAUUCAGACAAGCACACAAAUCCAGAAGAUGAACUAUGGCUCUCAGGCCAUUGCGCGAAUACUGUGAUGGUUGGGGAUGGCUUCCCACUUCCACCCUUCUCUCUAUGAAUGUCAUGUCUGUGACAUUUCCAGUUCCACACGGUGAAGGCCUGAGAGCGUUCUGACGGAUC
rnacentral:snoRNA from 1 species